rnacentral:lncRNA from 1 species
AUGAGGGCAACCCAAGGGUGUGGGACGCUCCAAAAUAUCUGUGGAUAUAUAUCUGAGGUGGCAAAAACACAAAAAGAAGAUGCGGAGUGCUGGCUCAAGUGGCAUUUGUUUAUUUGCAGCAAGUCAAGCCCUGGAUGUCCAGGGUGGGGAUCUGGUGGCUCUAUCCUGGGAGGUCACCAAAGCCUGCCUGGACACCCUGGGCCGAGCCUGAGUGUGGGAAUUCCCAUUUUGGGAGGGUGGGCUAUGUGUUCCUGCGCCUGGCAUGGCGCCGGCUCCUCCCUGAGGAGCCCGGGUUGUCCCGCUGGGACCUUGAAGCAUGUCCCUGGUCGUCAUUCCAGCUCCUCCGCUGCCUCUGACCUGUGGAGUGGUUGCGGGGCGCCCUUCCCUGGGAGGCUCUCCAGGAGUUCUGGCUUCUCCUGUAGGAUCUGCCCCGGGUUUGGCUUCUUGUCCCGUGCUGUUGCCUGGAGGAACCCCAGUCUUCCCUCUGGUGUCUGUCACUCCUCCUCAAGGGGUUGUCAUGGUUGGGCCUUGGACUGUGUCUGCCAUCAGCAUCCCAGCUCCUCCAGCGCCUCUGGUUUCUGGAGUGCUCGUAGGGCACCGUUCUCUGGGAGCCUGCCGGGGAGUGCUGGUCUCUCCUGUGGGAUCUGCCCCGGCUUUGCCUCCCUCUUGUGUGCUGUUGUUCGGAGGAAUCAGAGUCUUCUGACUGGUGUGUCUCACUCCUGUCUGAGGGGACAUCGUAUUGGGGCCCUGGGGGGUGUCUGUCAUCACCAUCCCAGCUCCUCCAGCGCCUGUGCCUCGCGGAGUGCUCGGGGGAGCCUGUCUGCGUGUCCUGCUCUCUCCUGGAGGACCCGUCCCAGCCACGGGAACGCUCUCUGCCCCUGCUCCACCUGCGCCGGCCCCAGGACCAUUCCUGCUGGCUCCAUGACCUGUGGGACCUGCGCCAGGAUCGCCGUCCCUGCGAGGAGACCGGGAUGGUCCAUUCCACCCUCGGAGUCUGUCCCUCUUCAGGUGUGUCCUCCCAAGCCCUCCUCUGGUGCUGCCACCACCUCCUCCUCGGGGAGUCGCUGCCUCGGCGGCGCCGGGACUGCCGGCGGCCAUCGCGGGGCCACCUCCCAGACC